AUUGAACGCUGGCGGCAGGCCUAACACAUGCAAGUCGAGCGGAUGACGGGAGCUUGCUCCUUGAUUCAGCGGCGGACGGGUGAGUAAUGCCUAGGAAUCUGCCUGGUAGUGGGGGACAACGUUUCGAAAGGAACGCUAAUACCGCAUACGUCCUACGGGAGAAAGCAGGGGACCUUCGGGCCUUGCGCUAUCAGAUGAGCCUAGGUCGGAUUAGCUAGUUGGUGGGGUAAUGGCUCACCAAGGCGACGAUCCGUAACUGGUCUGAGAGGAUGGUCAGUCACACUGGAACUGAGACACGGUCCAGACUCCUACGGGAGGCAGCAGUGGGGAAUAUUGGACAAUGGACGAAAGCCUGAUCAAGCCAUGCCGCGUGUGUGAAGAAGGUCUUCGGAUUGUAAAGCACUUUAAGUUGGGAGGAAGGGCAGUAAGUUAAUACCUUGCUGUUUUGACGUUACCGACAGAAUAAGCACCGGCUAACUCUGUGCCAGCCGCCGCAGUAAAAC
rnacentral:rRNA from 1 species